rnacentral:lncRNA from 1 species
UUUUUUGUUUUUUUUUGUUUUUUGGCCAUGCCCACAGCAUGAAGAAGCAGUGGGAUCAAACCCACACAUCAGUGACCUGAGCCACAGUAGCAACAACGCCAGAUCCUUAACCGGCCAAUCCACUAGGGAACUGCAAGGUUUUGCUUCGAAAGAACCCAAUCUAAGAAAACUGUAUAUAAGAAAUACUCUCUAUAGGAGUUCCUGUGAUGCAGUGUGUCAAGAAUCUAACACUGCCACAGCUGUAGCAUAGGUUGCAGCUGAGGCUCAGAUUCAAUCCCUGGCCCUGGAACUUGCAUAUGCCACAAGGGUAGCCAAAAAAAGGAAAUACUCUUCACUAAUCAAUAUCCAAAAAAAAAAAAAAAUUCAACUAAAAAUUAGAAAAGCAGGAGUUCCCGUCAUGGCUCAGUGGUUAUCCAAUCCGACUAGGAACCAUGAGGUUGCAGGUUUGAUCCCUGGCCUCGCUCAUUUCAUUUCCACCGCGCCACAACAGGAACUCAAAAGGCUGCUUCUCGGCAUUCACUUCCUAACAACUUGUUGCACAGUAAGCUUGUGUUUUGUUCACUUUUCCACAGGAAGUGAAAGGAAAAAGGAGGUGCUUCAGGUCUGAGUAGCUCAGGGCAGGAGCAGGGAUACACCAGAGGGCGACGCAAGGGCAGCUGUCAGGCAGCCUCUAAGGCUUCUGAGGAGCAAAGGAAGUUCGGAAGGAGGCAGGUGGGGUCAGGUCUGCUGUGUCCCCGGACUCUCCCUGGGGCCUUCUGGAGGUGGUUUGACAGGGGACGGCCCCAGCCAGCCAACCCUCGGCGGGGUCACUGCCCCCCAGGACAGGGGGCAGUCUUUCCUGGGUGGAGUCACAGAGAUGUGACUGGGUUGCCCAGCGAGGGGCACCAUGCAGCUGGGUCACAGCCAGAGACCUUCCCUCACUGCCCCUCUUCUAGGGACACAGGAUCUGGUUCGAUAUCCCCUGGGUGGCCUUGCUGCCUCAGAGGCCAGCAAGUUGGUGCUGGACAAGAAGCCCCUGGCCCCCAGGCCCGCCCCCUGGUCUUCCUUGGUGCCCUCUGGGGUGCAGGAAGCUCCCCCUUGGACCAGCAGGGGGCAUCCACGCAACGUGACCUAGAGUUGAGCUGGGGGGACAACUCCAGCUUGUCUAGUGGGGUCUCUUCUGGUUCUAAAUGCAUCCUUUUUAAUCUAAAUGCACGCUUUCUGAUCAACAGCGGGAAAAGUAAGCCUGUGCUCACUGCUCAGCUUGAGAGGCUUCCCAAAGUGUUUGGGGCCCUUUUCCUGAGCCCAGGAAUCAAACCCGUCUCUGAACUCACCAUCGGGCUGGCAGGUCAGGGAGGCCUCUCUGAGCCUCACUUUCCCCAUCUGUAGAUGAGGCAGCAGUAGCACCUUGGGCCAGCCUCCCGUUGGUUUCCCCCCACAGUCUGGGGCAAGGAGAGCAGAGUGGGGCAGGUCAGCCUUGCCCCCUUGGCUGGGUGAAAGUACAUCCAGAACCUCGGGAGGCAGGCUAACUAGACACCCCCACAAUGACUACCAGAGAUCGAGAGGGGUGGCAGGACGCCAGGCAGGGGCCAGGGUCGAGGCUCAGAGCAGUGAAAGCAGAUCACAUGCCUGAGACUUGAACCUAGGCCUGUCACCUGUAAACCACGUCCAAGAGCAGCUGCCCUCCAGACAAACUACGCGCAGAGCUUAGCACCUAGACUACAGGAAACGCUCAGCAAGUGGCACCACCCUCCUACCCCAUGUGAGUAACACAACACCCACGGCAGGUCUCAGGAGGGAAUGGGGCCUCUUCCAGCCCCUCCUUCACACUGGACGACCACGCCUGGGGCCCUGCCCACUACCCCUGACCCUCAGACUAACAACUGAGCCCCUGGGCCUGGGGGCGGCUCGGCCAGGGUCUGGGGUGGGCCUCUGGCAGCCACAGGCCUCACCUGUCCAAGCAGUCCGCAGGACCUGUCACGUGGCUCUGGACCCUAGAACCCCCAAAACCUUCCAGCUCAGGGGUCUUGCCAUGAGCUGGCUCCAAAGUGGCUGCAUGCCAGCGAAAAGCAGCAACACCUGGCGUCCUACAGCCGUCACUGGCACCGCAGACCCUGGGCCCUGGUGGAAACUGUGUCUCUGCCCCAAGCCCCUGCUUAAACUCUUCAGAGGAAGGGAAGCUGUAGCCAGCGGGGAACGGCGUGCCUCACCGGGUUCCCCAGCGAAUUCGGGAAGAGAGAGAGCAGAGAAUUGCAGCCUCGUUGGGGGCAGGAAAAGCCCAGCAGCACUGGCCGCCCCCCACCCCGGCCAGAAACACCUGCAGAGACGGUGCCGGACACUUGGCUCCUGGAAGAGGUGGCCACUGUCUUCCCUGCCGCACCGCAAGGAGCCCCCCAUGCCCCCGACCCACAUCCUCUUUCAGCUUCCACCCACCACCCCACCCGGACACGCCCCAGGCAGGGGGGGGACCGCCAAACAAGGGGUCUUCUCCUGAGACUGUUCAUCAACAGUAAGUGGACACGAAGGAUCUCAUGGCUUGGGUUUUACAGAGCAAAUUCCUCUUCCCCGGAGGAAAAGUCCAGCGAGGACCGAGGACCCUAAGUUCUCUGCCACCCUGACCCCCAGCUAAGUCUGUUUUUAAGGGGAAAAUAAAUUCUCAGCCUGAGCGGCUGUGCCAGGGCAAGCAGGGGGCUGGAAUUCCACGGCGAGAAACAAGGGGUUAAUCACAGCUGGGCCUGGGCCGGGUAUCGACCAGAGGACGUGGGCAUCCGGGGCCACGGUCCCCACCCAUCCCCGGCCUACUGAGGGCCUACUCUUCCUGUGGCACGGCAGCCAGCGCUUCCUCUAGGAAGUCUUCCUGGAGCCCCCCGCUGGGUUCCAAGCUCCCAGCCCCUGCACAGCAACCGCCACGGACAGUGGGUGCUGGGAGCCCUUCCUGCCCAGCUGUCUUCCAGUAAACAUUGGUUAAUCCAGCAAAUGACCCCAAUACAUACACGUUAUACACACACACACACACACACACACACACACACACACACACACACACACACAAUUUAGGGCCACACCUGUGGCAUAUGGAGGUUCCCAGGCUAGGGGGUCAAGUUGGAGCUGCAGCCACCACCCUAAGCCACAGCCACAGCAAUGCCAGGUCUUAGCCCAUAAGCCGGGUCAGGGAUCAGAACCUGCAUCCUCAUGGAUACUAGUCAGCUUCUUAACCUGCUGAGCCACAAUGGGAACUCCCCAAUUAUAUAUUUGAAGGAUUUUUUUUUUGCCACAUCUACAGCAUGUGGAAGUUCCCAGGCCAGGGGUAAAACCCGCACAACAGCAGCAAUUCAAGCCACUACAGUGACAACACUGGAUCCUUAAUUCGCUGAGCCACAAGGGAACUCUUAGGCCUUUUAGUUCUGCAGCCUCACUGCCCUGGACCUGACUUGUGGCAGCAGAAGCUGGCGCUCUGGAUUUGGGCUGAGAGCGGACUACCCAACUCUGGGUCCUGGUCUGUUACCAGCUGCGCACACAGUGUUUAGUGACCUGUGGCCCAGGGACCUGUCCAC